UGAAACCUAUCAGCUUAUGAAGUCUCUCUUAGUAGGUUUCUUCGUCAUGAAUAUAAUAUACUAGCUGGACGGCUUGAUCUGUUUUGUGUAUUUGAUCGGGGACAUGAACUUGAAUUCUGACUCUGUCAUUGCCUCUGACAGGACUUUGUCUGUGGAUUACCUGCAAGAAUCCGCAAGAUUGAAGAGAGAGCUCAAGGAAGAGCCAAAGAAGCAGCCAAAAACGUACCAUUCAGCUGGAUUUUUGGUCGGGAGAUUAGGGCUUAAGUAAACAUCUCUCUCUCUCUUUCAAAUGAUCCCCGAGUAAGCCGCCAUAAACAUCUCCACCGAUGACGUACCAGUCUUAAGACCUCGAAAGUUCAUUUGAAUAUGUUUUGUUUUAUACGGAACAUUGUAGAUAAUGUUAUGUUUUCUUGUUAGUCGAAGACCAUAAAAUGGUGUUUUGAGUGUUCCUAGUGAGUGAUAAUGUCUGGUUACCAAGAACAAAAAGACUUUUAAGAGUUUGGUUUUCUAUUUUCGAUUCUCUUUUUUGUUGUACCAGUACUUAAUAAUGUUCUCCCAUAAGCAAAGAACGGUUUGUAAUUUAAACCUCUUGUUCAAGUAACAACCAACCAAAAAGUGACCGUUUUAUUACCAUAACAAAGAUGAAACUUAAAAAUAACGUUUUAAUACAAUUGAAACGGAGUAAAGUCUUAUUAGAUGAAACCAUAACUGCAAACGCACAAAUCAAAACUGUUUCUUCUUUUACUCUCAAAUUAAAAGAAGAAGAAAGACUCUGUUCACGAUCUUGUUUAGCUUCUAAAAACUUUAAAGAUCAUGUUUCCCAAGAAACCAGCUGAUUCAUCUACCACACAUCAACACAGCUUCGACGAGUCUCGAUGGGUCAACAACGUCAGAAAAUCUCUCGACGCAGAGCUCGAAGACCACCCUCUCGAACAAGUCACAGUCAGCAUUUUCACCGUCCCUAAAGCUUUAAUGUCUACCCACCAAGACUCAUACACACCUCAGCGAGUCUCCAUCGGACCUUACCACUGUCUCAAACCAGAGCUUCACGAAACAGAGAGGUACAAACUAACGAUCGCUAGAAAAUUUCGAAACAAUUCCAAAUCUUUCAGGUUUCACGACCUCGUCGAGAAGCUGCAAUCAUUGGAGGCCAAGAUCAGAGCUUGCUAUCAUAAGUACAUCGCGCUGAGCGACGAGACUCUGCUGUGGAUAAUGGCGAUCGACUCUUCGUUCUUGAUCGAGUUUCUUAAGGUUUAUUACGGUUUCGGAAAGGUCGAGACUUUGAUUAACAGAGUCGGCCACAACGAGAUUCUUAGAGAUGUAAUGAUGUUAGAGAAUCAAAUCCCGUUGUUCGUUUUGAGGAAAACGCUCGAAGUUCAGCUCGAAUCGAAGGAAUCAGCUGAUGCUCUGUUGGUCUCUGUUCUCACUGGACUCUGCAGAGACCUCUCUCCCCUCGUUGUUAAAUUCGAAGAUGGUGAGAUUCUGAAGGCUGAGAUUCAUGAGUGCAAUCAUAUCCUAGACUUCUUGUAUCAGAUGAUCGUUCCAAGAAUCGAAGAAGAAGAGGAAGAAGAAGAAGAAAACAGAGCAGGCGAAAACAGAGCAUGUAAGCUUCUGAGAGAGAUGAAGCUUCAGUUCAAAAGGGUCUUCGCGUCUCGACCUGCUGAUGUCAUCCUGAGACUCCCAUGGAGAGUCAUAUCGAAUCUCCCCGGCUUCAUCGCUAUACUUUUAUCAAUGGGUCACACUGCUAUUUUAAUAGAAUAGAUGUGAUAUAAAUUUUAUGAUUAGUUAAUGAUUCCCUAUUUGCGUAUAUUGACGUUCGUGCAAGUCUUGAUAAUAAACGAUUUAAAUCUGACAUGUAUUCUUCGACUCUUCGGUUAGAAUAGUAGUUGUUGAUUUUUGAAAAUAAAAGUAGUCGAAAGUCCACCCAUCUCUCGAUUAAAAUGGUAACAAACGGUUGCAUAUUUAUCAUGCGUCCAAAACAAUAUAACUGUCCAAUAACUAAAUUACCUUUAUGCCAUUAGUGAAGGGUAACUAGACCUUUGUAAAAGUGAUGGUAAAAUAAGUAAUAUAAAUAGUUGGACUAAACUUAUAUCAAUAGGUCAAGAUGUUAGUUUUUAAUAUAAUAGACUAAAUUCUGACCCGUCCUUUAAGGACGGGUAUAUUUUUUGUUUUACAUCUUUUUAGGUCUUUUCAAUUGGUAAUUUAAAUAUAAGUUUAAUAACAUAAAGCAUAAUAAAUAAUAUUUUAAAUAAUGAUAAAGAUAAAAAAAAUAAUAAUUGGACAUACUUUUAUCAAUGGGUCACAGUGCUAUUUUAAUAGAAUAGAUGUGAUAUAAAUUUUAUGAUUAGUUAAUGAUUCCCUAUUUGCGUAUAUUGACGUUCGUGCAAGUCUUGAUAAUAAACGAUUUAAAUCUGACAUGUAUUCUUCGACUCUUCGGUUAGAAUAGUAGUUGUUGAUUUUUGAAAAUAAAAGUAGUCGAAAGUCCACCCAUCUCUCGAUUAAAAUGGUAACAAACGGUUGCAUAUUUAUCAUGCGUCCAAAACAAUAUAACUGUCCAAUAACUAAAUUACCUUUAUGCCAUUAGUGAAGGGUAACUAGACCUUUGUAAAAGUGAUGGUAAAAUAAGUAAUAUAAAUAGUUGGACUAAACUUAUAUCAAUAGGUCAAGAUGUUAGUUUUUAAUAUAAUAGACUAGAUUCUGACCCGUCCUUAAAGGACGGGUAUAUUUUUUGUUUUACAUCUUUUUAGGUCUUUUCAAUUGGUAAUUUAAAUAUAAAUUUAAUAACAUAAAGCAUAAUAAAUAAUAUUUUAAAUAAUGAUAAAGAUAAAAGAAAUAAUAAUUGGACCAUACUUUUAUCAAUGGGUCACACUGCUAUUUUAAUAGAAUAGAUUUAAAUAUAGGUCUAAUGGCAUAAAACAUAAUAAAUAAUAUUUUAAAUAAUGAUAAAGAUAAAAGAAAUAAUAGUUGGACGAUACUUUUAUCAAUGGGUCACACUGCUAUUUUAAUAGAAUAGAUUCUGGAUGAUGUGGUUAUGUCUAAAAGGACACUUAUUUUGCCAGGUCCGGUUCGUGUAGUCUUGUUAGCCUGUUCUUAAGUAAAGAGCGUUGGAUUAUGACCAGUUUAAGGUCUGUAUCUACUCUUACACGUUUAAAAUAAGUGCAGAUUUAAUAAUGGUUCUAGCUGGGCCAGAGUGGACCGGCUAGUAUUAGACGUACCAUAACCAAGGACUACGUUAUUCAACAUAUAACCGCGUAAUGAGAAUAUGAUAUAAUUUGGGGUGAUGGUUCUGUAGAUAACUAAUAAAUGCAUGGAAGAACUAACUUACCAUGCCAAGGAACAGCAUGUGCACAUUAUCAUAACUCACAAAGCCUCUCUGUCAUCUACGCAGAGAUUCUUUCUCUCUCAAACACUCAUAAACACAUUAAUUAUCCGCUAGAGUUUGACUUUUUUUCCCGGAGGAAACAUGGCGUCGAACCAUGAGUUUCUUGCUCGGUUCGUCGAGGAGACAACGUUUUACAACCGAAUAGUUCUGAGCCACCUUUUGCCGGCGAAUCUAUGGGAGCCUUUGCCACAUUUCCUCCAAACAUGGCUCCGGAACUACCUAGCCGGAAACUUACUUUACUUCAUCUCCGGCUUCCUCUGGUGCUUCUACAUCUAUUACCUUAAACUCAACGUUUACGUCCCUCAAGGUGAGAUUAUUUUUUCAGUUCGUCUUAUUUUUGAGCUCUCUUUUUUUUUAAUGAAUCUACAAUAUUCUUCAGAUUCUGUUCCUACAAGAAAGGCAAUGAUUCUACAAAUAUAUGUGGCAAUGAAGGCUAUGCCUUGGUCCACACUUGUUCCAACUGUCUCUGAGUAUAUAAUCGAGCGUGGUUGGACCAAAUGUUACUCUACACUUGAUCAGUUCAACUGGUGCCUCUGUUUGGUUUACAUCGCGUUUUAUCUUGUUUUAGUUGAGUUUAUGAUUUAUUGGGUUCACAAAAUGACUCAUGACAAUAAAUUUCUCUAUAAGCAUCUCCAUGCAACCCACCAUAUGUACAACAAGCAAAACACACUCUCUCCAUUUGCUGGUUAGUCACAUUCUUAUUUCUUAAGAACUCUCUUUCAAACCUGCUUGCCCUGGGAGUUAACUUUAACCUUAUCUUCGAUAAUGUUGAAACUAACAUUCAAAUCGAACGGCCGGUCUAUAAAUUUGGUGCUAAGAUUCAUGAGUUUCCAACUUAGUUACAAUUGGCAAUAAGUGGAUUGGUCUAGAUGUCUUAUAUAUUAUUUAUGUUUCAUCGAAACUCUUAAUUUGGGGGAUUUUAUUCUUAUACUCUCUUUAGUGAUUAAACUUCAUGACCUAUUAAUCUUUACAUAGUCCCAAUACUUGGUAAUAAAUUUUUUCUGUCAACUUGGUAAUAUAUAACAUUGCUUGAAAGUUUUUCGGGUUUUCAGGGCUUGCGUUCCAUCCAUUGGAUGGGAUACUUCAGGCAGUACCGCAUGUGAUAGCUCUGUUCAUAGUGCCGAUACAUCUCAUAACACAUUUGAGUCUUUUUAUUAUGGAAGGGAUAUGGACAGUGAGCAACCAUGAUUGCAUCAAUGGUAACAUAUGGCCUAUAAUGGGUGCAGGACACCAUACCAUACACCAUACAACAUACAAGCAUAACUAUGGCCAUUAUACCAUAUGCAUGGAUUGGCUGUUUGGCUCACUUAAGGUCCCUUUAGCUGAAGACGACAGCUUUAAUGAGAAAGAAAAGUGAUAUGUUCAACGUACACAUUUUUUUUGUUGUCCUUCAUGUGUUUUUCUACUCCUGAGUCUUAAACCUUUGUAAUAUCACUUUGUUAGAAUAAGAAACAUGAUUGCACUAUUAGCUACAAAGUUUCUUACUUGUCUUCAAAGAAUACUUAGUUUGGUAAGUAGAAGGUUGAUAAAGAUACAACACUAGCAUCUAUAAUAGGCAAAGUUUGUACUUUUCAGUUAAGGUAAGAAAUCUAAAAACAUAAAAAUAGAGAAAAUUAAAGGUAGUAUAAAAUAUAGCCAAGUAUACGCUUUCAUAAUCAACUAGUUCUUGUAGAUGGGUCACAUAGAAAGCAUAAAUAUCUGCCAAUGCUCCCACUUGUGUUGAAUGGGUUGUCCCACAGAGUCACAGAUCUCUAUGCCUACACAUUUAAUAUUGUUAUGGCUCCUUUAACUACUGUGAUGUUUAAGUGCAGACUUUUCUCAGAUCAGAAGAAAACCAGUUAGUUGGGGCAAUGACAUAUUUAGCUCACCAUAAAAUUGCUAAAAAAAAAAGCUCACCAUAAGAAUGAGUUGUGAAAUAUAGAAUCACCAAGUCAUUAUUAGAAACGUUGUCAAUGGAUUUGAUUCUUGAUGUUUAAAACUGUUGGGAUUAGUCGAAGCAUAAUUUAGGCCCAAUAAUUUGACAAAAGAAUGAGUCAUAUAUCAUUCGGCCCAUGGGCCUGUGAAAAAAGCAGCGAAAAAUAUCUGAGUGUGGCAUUGACGUAAAUAAAAGAGCACCUGAGGGAUAUUCUAGAGAAGAAAAAUAAAAGUUGCAUACAUACACAUGUCCAUGGCUCGAUCAUCACGCCCACCCAAAACCUUCACAUUUGUCACAGUCUCGUAGCAGCAAUCAAACAUAGAAAUAAUCGACCUUCGGGAUCCGUCCUUGUUCUUUAUUUAAAUCACUUCCAUUUAUCGAGUUUGUUAGAGUCUUAGAGAAUAAACUAAGAGAAAAAUGGCGAUGGCUAUGAGUCGGAUCGUACUUUCGCCUUCUUCUUACGCCUAUCGUCCUCGUCAAGCUCGUGGAUCCAGAUCCUCCAUUGCUUCUUCGAUUCGUUCCGCUACUACGUGAGCCUUUUCUCCCUUCAUUGUCGUAAUCAUAUGUUUUGCUGAUCUGUGUGUUUUGGAUUGAAUGCCGAUGAUGAAUCUCUGUUAUCACCAAUGUUCAAAAAUAGCUAAGGCUGUAACUAGUCGUAUUAGCAACUAGGCGGAUUAUUUGGAAUCUAGGCCUAGCCUUCCUGGGGUUAACAAAUUAUUGACUGAUUUGAUGUAUUUUUACAUUCGUGUAAGAUAUUUUAGUUUUUAGAUCUAAUUAUAAAAUUAGUUCGAUGAAUUACUAAAAUUAGAUAUAUAUAUAAAACAAAAAAAAAAUAGUCAAAAUUUGUGGAUUUGUACCAACAUUAUUAACAAAUUUAGACUAAUUUAAAUUAAUUUAGAAUGGCUUAAACCGAUUUAAAAUAGCUUAAAUCUUAUAUAAAUCGAAUAUUUUAAAAAACCAUUUCGGCUCGCAUCGAUUUUUAGGACAAAUUUUAUUAUCAUGGUUAUUACUAAUUCAUCGAGGAAGACAUAUAUACUGUCUGAAGCUUAUUGGUGUUUUUUCAGGAUUGUUGUGUGUAGUACUGCUAAGUCUAUUUUAUUUUCAUCACUCGCUCAAGUCCUGAGUUUGAAACUCUAUUUGGUUUAAUUACAGGGAGGUUACUAACGGAAGGAAGCUCUACAUCCCUCCACGAGAAGUGCAUGUCCAAGUUAAACACUCCAUGCCGCCGCAAAAGCUCGAGAUGUUCAAAUCCUUGGAAGGAUGGGCUGACGAGACCCUCUUGACCUACUUAAAACCCGUCGAGAAGUCGUGGCAGCCGACAGAUUUUCUCCCGGAAGCCGAGUCAGAAGGGUUCUAUGACCAAGUCAAAGAGUUAAGGGAACGGUGUAAGGAGCUUCCCGACGAGUAUUUCGUGGUGCUUGUCGGUGAUAUGAUCACUGAAGAAGCGCUUCCGACUUACCAGACCAUGUUGAACACGUUGGAUGGUGUUAGGGAUGAGACGGGAGCUAGUCCUACUCCUUGGGCGGUGUGGACUAGGGCGUGGACUGCUGAAGAGAAUAGGCAUGGGGAUUUGCUUAACAAGUAUCUUUAUUUGUCUGGGAGAGUUGACAUGAGGCAGAUUGAGAAGACUAUUCAGUACCUUAUUGGCUCUGGAAUGGUAAGCUUCUCUGAUUUGUAUUCUAUGUUUCUCAUGUAUGAUUAAUUUAUAGGCCUGCCGGUUCGGGUAAAAUUUUGCUGAAUUGAACCGUAAAAAAGUUCGGUUCGGUUCUUGGCUAGUUCGUAUCAAAAAAUUUUACCGAAAUUUUUGGUUUAAAUUGAAUAAAAUUCAAAAAAAAAUUUUGUUCGGAUUUUGAUUAGUUCUGUUAUUUUGAUUCGGAUUUUGGUUAGUUCGGUUCGGAUUUUCGGUUAAUAUUGGUACUGUUUGAUUGUUUUUGUUACCAAACAUCCGAACCGAAAACCGAACUUUUCGGUUCGGUUCGGUUAAAAAUCCCAGCUCUAAUUAAUUAUAUAUGACUGAUAUUGUUUUAUCUUCUUAGGAUCCAAAAACUGAAAACAACCCUUACUUGGGUUUCAUCUACACAUCCUUUCAAGAAAGAGCGACCUUCAUCUCCCAUGGAAACACUGCCAGACACGCUAAAGAUCUUGGAGAUUUGAAACUUGCGCAGAUAUGCGGGACCAUUGCUGCUGACGAGAAGCGCCACGAGACUGCUUACACCAAGAUUGUGGAGAAGCUCUUCGAAAUCGACGCUGAUGGCACCAUCUUGGGAUUGGCUGAUAUGAUGAAGAAAAAGAUCUCGAUGCCUGCGCAUUUGAUGUAUGACGGCCAAGAUGAUAACCUGUUUGAGCACUUCUCGACCGUUGCACAGAGGCUCGGUGUCUACACUGCGAAGGACUAUGCUGAUAUUCUGGAGUUUCUUGUUGAACGGUGGAACGUUGAGACUUUGUCAGGCCUUUCUAGUGAAGGACACAAGGCUCAGGUACAUUACCAUCAUAAAACUUGUGAUGAAACCUAUCAGCUUAUGAAGUCUCUCUUAGUAGGUUUCUUCGUCAUGAAUAUAAUAUACUAGCUGGACGGCUUGAUCUGUUUUGUGUAUUUGAUCGGGGACAUGAACUUGAAUUCUGACUCUGUCAUUGCCUCUGACAGGACUUUGUCUGUGGAUUACCUGCAAGAAUCCGCAAGAUUGAAGAGAGAGCUCAAGGAAGAGCCAAAGAAGCAGCCAAAAACGUACCGUUCAGCUGGAUUUUUGAUCGAGAGAUUAGGGCUUAAGUUAAACAUCUCUCUCUCUCUUUCAAAUGAUCCCCGAGUAAGCUGCCAUAAACAUCUUCACCGAUGACGUACCAGUCUUAAGACCUCGAAAGUUCAUUUGAAUAUGUUUUGUUUUAUACGGAACAUUGUAGAUAAUGUUAUGUUUUCUUGUUAGUCGAAGACCAUAAAAUGGUGUUUUGAGUGUUCCUAGUGAGUGAUAAUGUCUGGUUACCAAGAACAAAAAGACUUUUAAGAGUUUGGUUUUCUAUUUUCGAUUCUCUUUUUUGUUGUACCAGUACUUAAUAAUGUUCUCCCAUAAGCAAAGAACGGUUUGUAAUUUAAACCUCUUGUUCAAGUAACAACCAACCAAAAAGUGAC
rnacentral:lncRNA from 1 species